rnacentral:rRNA from 1 species
CACGUAGGGGCCAAGCGUUGUCCGGAUUUAUUGGGCGUAAAGAGCUCGUAGGCGGCUCGGUAAGUCGGGUGUGAAACCUCCAGGCUCAACCUGGAGACGCCACCUGAUACUGCUGUGGCUAGAGUGCGGGAGAGGAGAGUGGAAUUCCUGGUGUAGCGGUGAAAUGCGCAGAUAUCAGGAAGAACACCCGUGGCGAAGGCGGCUCUCUGGAACGCAACUGACGCUGAGACGCGAAAGCGUGGGGAGCAAACAGG